GUGGCAGGAAAGAGAGGGGCGUUGCUAGGGGCGCCUCGCUCUCAUUGGCCAGGCUCCGAGGGCGGGUUAAAAAUAAGGCAAUCAGCCAGUAGGAGAGCGCAGAGGGCGGUGACGGACGGGCGGGAGAGCCAAUCGCCGUGUGUUUAUAGCAGGGGCUGAGGCUGUCAGCGGGCCGGGCGUUCGGACCUUUCAGAGCCCUCAGAGCCGCCGCCCGUCCCCCUCCCGCCCCUCACACCCGGCCGGGCAACCCCCGCCCCCCCGUGACCACAGCGGGGCUCCGAGGCGGCAACCCCGCUGUUAUUACCGCUAAUUAACCCCCACUGCAGUUUCCCACAGGGUUCAGCCCUUGUUCUGGUCCUGGUGUCGGUCAUCACAGCGCAUCUCGCCCGGUCCCUCCGGUCCCUGCUUAGUGCAUUCAGAUACUCUGAGGGUUCGGCUGCCAAGCUGAAAUAGUUUUGUUCUUCCUUUCUUCCUUCACUGGGUUACAAAGCUGUGGACAGCUCUUGGAAAGGAAGAUGAGUCAGGACUGAUGAGAAGGAGAAAGAAGAUGAACUCCCAGCCUUGAAGUCAAGUGCACUGCCUGCGUCAUUGUUAUUAAAAAUAGAUGAACGGCAGCACUCUUCACAUUGGAGGAGAGAUGGAGGAGAUGUAAUAGCCCAGGCUGCUGAGCAAAUGCUCCCUCUGUCUGCCUGCAAGUCCCUCAGUGGCAUAUUCUGCUCUUUGAUAAAUUCUCUUUUCUUGGCUCUGA